rnacentral:tRNA from 1 species
GGUUAUGGCUCAGCGGUAGAGCGCUCACCUAGCACCUGCGAGAUCCUGGGUUCGGUCCUCAGCACUG